rnacentral:rRNA from 1 species
AGUGAACGCUGGCGGUAGGCCUAACACAUGCAAGUCGAACGGCAGCACAGUAAGAGCUUGCUCUUACGGGUGGCGAGUGGCGGACGGGUGAGGAAUACAUCGGAAUCUACUUUUUCGUGGGGGAUAACGUAGGGAAACUUACGCUAAUACCGCAUACGACCUACGGGUGAAAGCAGGGGAUCUUCGGACCUUGCGCGAUUGAAUGAGCCGAUGUCGGAUUAGCUAGUUGGCGGGGUAAAGGCCCACCAAGGCGACGAUCCGUAGCUGGUCUGAGAGGAUGAUCAGCCACACUGGAACUGAGAAACGGUCCAGACUCCUACGGGAGGCAGCAGUGGGGAAUAUUGGACAAUGGGGGAAAGCCUGAUACAGCAAUACCGCGUGGGUGAAGAAGGCCUUCGGGUUGUAAAGCCCUUUUGUUGGGAAAGAAAAGCAGCAGGUUAAUACCCCGCUGUUCUGACGGUACCCAAAGAAUAAGCACCGGCUAACUUCGUG